rnacentral:rRNA from 1 species
GUCUAUGGCCAUAUCACCUUGAACAAGCCUGAUCCCAUCUGAUCUUGGAAGCUAAGCAAGGUUGGGCCUGGUUAGUACUUGGAUGGGAAACCACCUAGGAAGACCAGGUGUAAAAGAUA